CCUCUGAUAGCUCAGUUGGCAGAGCGUGGGACUGUAAUUGGAUACCACGAUCAUCAUAUCCCGAGGCCGCCCGUUCGAACCGGGCUCAGAGGA
rnacentral:tRNA from 1 species